UGACCCUGAUACUGCUAUGC
rnacentral:misc_RNA from 1 species